rnacentral:rRNA from 1 species
CCUGGUGUUAAUAGGGGGGGGGCCGGUGUUUUCGUUCGUUAAGAAUGCGAGUCGAGAGUCGCAAGGGCUCGGCGGUCGCUCAGUAACACGCGGAUAACAUGCCCUUGGGUGGGGGAUAACCUCGGGGAACUGAGAAUAAUACCCCAUAGGUCUAGAAAGCUGGAAUGCUUUUAGAUCGAAAACUCCGGGGCCCAAGGAUUGGUCUGGGGCGUAUCAGGUCGUAGUGGGUGUAACGUACCACCUAGCCUAUGACGCGUAAGGGCCUUGAGAGAGGGAGCCCUGAGAUGGACUCUGAGACAUGAGUCCAGGCCCUACGGGGCGCAGCAGUCGCUAAAACUUCACAAUGGGGGAAACCCCGAUGAGGGAAUUCCAAGUGCCAGCACAUUGUGUUGGCUGUUCUUUGGUCUAAAAAACCGGAGAAGUAAGGGCCGGGUAAGACGGGUGCCAGCCACCGCGGUAAUACCCGCGGCCCGAGUGGUGGUCGAUAUUAUUGAGCCUAAAACGUCCGUAGCCGGUCUUGUAAAUCCUUGUGUAAAUCGACCAGCUUAACUGUUCGAAGUCCGGGGAGACUGCGAGACUUGGGAUCGGGAGAGGUCAUAGGUACUUCUGGGGUAGGGGUAAUAUCCUGUAAUCCUAGAAGGACCACCGGUGGCGAAGGCGUCUGACUAGAACGAAUCCGACGGUGAGGGACGAAGCCCUGGGCCGCAAACGGGAUUAGAUACCCCGGUAGUCCAGGCUGUAAACGCUGCGGGCUUGGUGUCGGAGGUCCUACGUGGGCGUCCGGUGACAAGAGAUAAAUUGUUAAGCCUGCCGCUUGCGGAGUACAGUCUCAAGACUGAAAACUUAUAGG